rnacentral:rRNA from 1 species
UCAGUUCGGAUUGGAGUCUGNAACCCGACUCCAUGAAGCUGGAUUCGCUAGUAAUCGCGCAUCAGCCACGGCGCGGUGAAUACGUUCCCGGGCCUUGUACACACCGCCCGUCAAGCCAUGGAAGCCGGGAGUGCCUGAAGUGCGUGAGCGCAAGCAGCGCCCUAAGGUAAAACCGGUGACUGGGGCUAAGUCGUAACAAGGUAAC